rnacentral:lncRNA from 1 species
CCUACUCUACCAUAAAAAAUAACAUCUUACUAUGGUCAGGACGUGACAGUACGUCCUGACCCCAAAGGUGCGGACUCCGACCGUACCUAAACAAAACAACAAACCCCCCCCCCCCAAAAAAAAAACACAAAAGGGAGGGUAGGGUGGGUAACUCCUGUCUAUGGCAGCUCUAGUGCAGUCCACAUAACCUUAUCCUCCAGCGGAUCCUCCAGCAGAGGAGGUGGCUCCGGUUCAGGGCGUAACCCCCGCUCCACCCGCUGAUCCCUCUGCUUCAGUACCACCGGACCGUGGAUCGUCAUCGGAGGAACCGGACAGUAGAUCAUCACUGGAGGCUCUGUGCCGCAGACCGCCGCUGGAGGUUCUGGGCUGCAGACCACCGCUGGAGGUUUUGGGCUGCAGACCACCGCUGGAGGUUCUGGGCUGCAGACCGCCGCUGGAGGUUCUGGGCUGCAGGCCGUCGCUGAAGGUUCUGGGCUGCAGGCCGUCACUGAAGGUUCCGGGCUGCAGGCCGUCUCAGGAGGUUCCGGGCUGCAGGCCGUCUCAGGAGGCUCCGGACUGGGGAGCGUUGCUGGAGGCUCCGGACAGGGGACCGUCGCUGUAGGUUCCGGACUGGGGACCGUCGCUGCAGGCUCCGUGCCAUGGAUCAUCACUACAGGUUCCGCGCCAUGGAUCAUCACUGGAGGCUUUGUGCCAUGGAUCAUCACUCAACAUAGAAAUUGGGGUGAAAAAGGGGGUAAAAUAAAUAAGAAAAAAAAAAACAAAAAAAAAUAAUAAUAGUGGUUAUGUCCAAAAUGGUACCCUAUUCACAAUUUAAUGCACUACUUUAGACCAAGGGCCCUAGUGCACUAAAUAUGGAAUAGGGUGCAAUUUGGGACGAACAUUGACGCAAUACAGCUUCCCUGCCCUGGUGUUGAAACCAUGGAUUUGAACAAACAGUAUCGCUCACAGGCCAUUUGUAAUUGUAAUCAUUAAAGCAUGCAGAUACUUGGAGGUUAGUAAGACUUGUUACAUUGGUGUAUCUUUUACCUCAGUCUUGUUCAUUCCAUGGAAUUGCAUCGAAAUAAAAAUGUGUUUUUUAUUGAAACAUUUCAAUGUUUGACGAGUUAGUCAUCUUAUAUCUUGAGGGAACUAAUAUGUUUCAUGUAGCAAACACAUCUUGUGGGUUCUUUUCAUUACUCUGUACAAUCCAAAGCUAACAUUUCACAGGGAAAGCAAACAUACUAGAUAUUGGCUGGCUGAUUCCAUGGAACUUGAUAACUGGGCCUGUUUUCACAAAGCAUCUCAGAGUAGGAGUACCGAUCUAGAAUCAGAGGUCCCCCUGUCCAUAUAAUAUUACUUAUUAUGAUUUAAAAGGCUAAACUGAUAUUUUAUCAGCACUCCUACUCAGAUACUCUUGAUGAAUAUGGGCCCUGGUGUGUUGUGAGAAAAGGUCAAUAGAGAAACAAAACAAACAGAAAUUUGGCAAAGGUUGGAAAGUGUGUCAAGCAGCAUCUUUUGAAAGAUUUUGAAUAAACAGAUUAGAGUGUUAUGUACAACAAGGGGAAAAGUGUGUCACAUGUCAUCUUUGAAUGGAUUUGAACACAUUGUGAUGUUAUUUAGAGCAGAGAGGAGUAGGGUUUGAGAGGAGGGACAAAUGAGAGGAGUAGGGUUUGAUUCACUCAUAUAACAAUACUUUUACAGUCACCAUCCAGCCAUUGGAAAAUCAUUAAGAAUGGAAGAUGGCUAUUCUUUCAAGUGUUGACACUUCCUCCACAGAUUGAAUCAAAUGUGAUUUUUGGCAAGAGAUGGCCUCAGCUGGUCAUAGCUGGCCUCAUCUGUCAUUAUGUUUGCCUGACUCUGCGAUAUCCCAGUCACCAUCCAGCAUUGGGUAUCCCAGUCACCAUCCAGCAUUGGGAAUCCCAGUCAUCAUCCAGCAUCGGGAAUCCCAGUCACCAUCCAGCAUUGGGAAAUCAUGAACAAGACUAGCCAAGAUGUGUUCAAAUGUUGACACUUGCCUUGCACAUUCUGUCAAGAAUCUGGCCUGAGAUCAAUCAAACUGCUUCAGCUGCAUGGUCACAGCUGGUCUCAUCUGUCAUGUUGUUAUGUUUACAUUUGAGUCAUUUAGCAGAUGCUGUUAUUCAGAGCAACUUACAGUUAGUGCAUCUAUCUUAAGGUAGCUAGGUGAAAAAUCACACAUCAGUUAUGGUAAAUGCAUUAUUUCUCAAUAAAGCAGCUAUAAGCAAAGUCCAACAUUGGAUAUUUCUAGUAAGAAAAGACAAGUGUUAGUGCAGAGAUGGCAACAGUGAGAGUAUUUCUUAUCUCAAGUGCACAUGAUCUCAAGAGGAGUAGUGCACGUGACUGAUAAGUUGGCCAGAUCACAGCAUGAUUUUGAAAGUGAUCAUAUUUGUAAACGGCCAGAACGUCCACCCACAAAACGAAAUUAGUCAUAAACCCCAAGAAAUCAUGGCACCUGAUCAAAGGGAUUAGGGAUCUUGUAAUUGUUUUAUUUUUGGAAGUAUAGGGUCCGUCCCAAAUGGCACCCUACACGCUACAUAGUGCACUACUUUUGACCAGAUCCCUAUGGGACUAUGUGCACUACUGUACAUAGGGAAUAGUGUGCGAUUGAGAUGUAGACAGUCUCUCAUGACAGCCUUUAAGUUAAAAUGUUAAACAUUAAUCAAAUAGUUCCGAUUUGGUUCUGGGUUUAGAAAUGAGCUGAAGUACAAUUUAUGAGGUAAAAAGAAAAACAUUGCAUUCAAGUUCAUGUUCAAGUUUUAUUGUCACAUGCACAAGUACAGUGCAAUGUUUAACUUGUGAGCUCUACCCAAUAGUGCAGUAAUCAAUAUCUAAAAUGGUUUAACUAAUAACAAAGUAUAUAAUAAAAAACACAAUAAAUAAGAGAGGAAGCUAUAGACAGGGUCAGUGCCAAUACCAAUUUUACAAUGUGCAGGGAUACUGGAGUAAUUUGAGGUAGCUAUGUAACAUGUAGGUAGGGAUUAGGAUAAAAUGACUGAUAUCAGGGUAAAUAAUAAUAAUAAAAGUUAACAGUAUUGCAGCAGGGUGUGUGUGUACAAGAGUGUCAAUGUAGAAGUGAUCGGCGGAUAUACAAUACAUGUAAACAGGGCUGAAAAGUGACUGGUAGCAGGAAUAUACUGUAUAAGUACUUAUGGUAAUAUAUUAAUGGCAAUAUAUACAGUUGAAGUCGGAAGUUUACAUACACUUAGGUUAGCUUGUUAACAAACUAUAGUUUUGGCAAGUCGGUUAGGACAUCUACUUUGUGCAUGACACAAGUCAUUUUUCCAACAAUUGUUUACAGACAUUAUUUCACUUAUAAUUCACUGUAUCACAAUUCCAGUGGGUCAGAAGUUUACAUACACUAAGUUGACUGUGCCUUUAAACAG